CCUACGGGCGGCAGCAGUGGGGAAUAUUGCACAAUGGGCGCAAGCCUGAUGCAGCCAUGCCGCGUGUGUGAAGAAGGCCUUCGGGUUGUAAAGCACUUUCAGCGGGGAGGAAGGCGGUGAGGUUAAUAACCUCAUCGAUUGACGUUACCCGCAGAAGAAGCACCGGCUAACUCCGUGCCAGCAGCCGCGGUAAUACGGAGGGUGCAAGCGUUAAUCGGAAUUACUGGGCGUAAAGCGCACGCAGGCGGUCUGUCAAGUCGGAUGUGAAAUCCCCGGGCUCAACCUGGGAACUGCAUUCGAAACUGGCAGGCUAGAGUCUUGGAGAGGGGGGUAGAAUUCCAGGUGUAGCGGUGAAAUGCGUAGAGAUCUGGAGGAAUACCGGUGGCGAAGGCGGCCCCCUGGACAAAGACUGACGCUCAGGUGCGAAAGCGUGGGGAGCAAACAGGAUUAGAUACCCGAGUAGUC
rnacentral:rRNA from 1 species